rnacentral:rRNA from 1 species
GCUUACGCCCAUACCACCCUGAGAACGCCCGAUCUCGUCUGAUCUCGGAAGCUAAGCAGGGUCGUGCCUGGUUAGUACUUGGAUGGGAGAGCGCCUGGGAAUACCAGGUGCUGUAAGCU